ensembl:lncRNA
AUGCCAACUGCCAGCUCUGAAUCCCUUGUUGGGAUCAUACAACUGGAUCAGCAGCAUGGAAAGAUUGGGAACAGUGUGGAGGUGACAGGAGCUUCCAACCCGCUCUGCUCCCAAGAAGAGAUGGGGGAGGUCAAGGCACCCAGAAGAGGUGCUGGAGAUGAGGCAAAAGGAGAGAGACACAUCCUAGGAGAAGUCCCAGCCUCUCAGGUCUUUCCUCUGGGCUCCUGGAACAGCAAAGCUUUCCUGAAGCCCUCUGCUCUCUGCAGAAAAAAUGUUUUUGUUUUCUCUUUUACCUUCCUUGUUGCCUCUAACUUCCUUUUGAGCUCUGGGGUUGAAAGGCUUGGCAAUGGUUCUAAGAGGUCUGAAAGUCUGGGUGCAUGUCUGUCUUCACUUACAGAACUGUUACCCAUCAUUUGGGGAGUUGGGAGCAUCUCUGUUGGGGGGAGAUCUGACAUAUUUGCCAAGCUUAAGAAAAUGUCCUCUGCCCCCAAGGGAGGAGCUUUGGAGUUAGACAUUUUCCCUAUGGGAAUCUUUUGGUUUGGUUUGUGGGGGGGUGGGGAGGGUCAGAGGAGGGAGAGGGUAAGUGCUUUUAUCUAUAGUCUCCAACAUAGCUGGUCUUACACUGAAUUUGUGCUAUUGCAUACAUGUAGCCAUCUUUCUUUUCACUGCAGCAGUGUUUAUCGGUAGUUCAAAGUAAUUUAUUUGCUCCUGGGGAGUAAAACUUUUUUAUUUAAAAAGAAAAAAAAAAUUAAUGAACAACCUCCCCCCCCUCCCUUUAAAAUGACCCUUAUAAUAAUUGUCUAAGGAUUAUUGGGUCAUAAGACUUAAGAAGGCAGAGUCAGGUACAGAAGUCCUUGUGAUAUCCAGUUAUAACCUGGGGAAUGUGAUCCUUCAUGCUCAGCACAAUCUAGAGGAGGAUUUGGAAAUGAUAGAUUUGGGAUGGGGGUGGGGGGUAGUGGGUAAGCCACAAAGACAGGGAAGCUAGGGAUCCAGGUGCUGCAGUUAAAACAGAAAUGGUGAUGCACUGUUUUUAAAGUCUUAUUUUCUGACAUAAGGAAAACCUUUUCUUUACGUACAGAUUAUAUGACAUUUCUGUCCUUGUCCUCUUCACUCCUUUUCCCCUUUCUGGCUUGGUGCUGCCACCAUGUUUCUUCCCCAUUCUUCCUGUUGUUCUCCAUUGGUCUCUUUCCAGCCGGCCCUGCAUGCUGGGUUUGUUGACUCACCGUCAUUUGUAUUUUGUCUCGUCUUAAAGAGUCCAUGGAAUACUUCCCACAGAAGGGCAUGAGGCAGCAGCCAAGAAGGAAAUAAGACAGCCAACAGUAGUAGGAUAGACUUAAAUGACUGGUCGUAGCUGGACUGCGAUCUUCUUUGCCCCUAGAGAAGGAAUGCAAGAAAAACAUAGUUUAUACCCUUCACCAAAACUAAAGUGGUCAGUCACAGACAUAGGGCCUCAGCUCAGAAGCUGGAAUCUUCUCUGCCUUAGCUCCUCAACCUGCAGAAAUGGAUCAAGAAUAUCUGCUUGAUUUCUCCCACCCAGGAUUCUCUCUUGGGAAGGUUCUAACCCCUAGAGUUGCACCAUGAAUUUUCCAAAGAACAUAAAAAUCCAGACACUGGUCUCUUGGAAGAUUAGCCUGUUUGAGUGCAGAAACUGGUGUUGUCAGUGACAAAACCACGUCUCUCUAUUUGUGUUCUAGGGAAACUUUAAAAGUAGGGUAUCCAAAUCUGGGCUCAGGUUGUUUGCUAGUUCUCAACCAGAAGCUAACCAGUCCUUUCCCCUUCACUUCCCACCCCCAACUUUGUGCCCUUCUUGAAGUCAUCCUCACUUCCACCAGCCCAAAGUGACCUGGCUUCUUUUCCCACUUAGUUUGGACACAUUUUUCUCCCCACCUUCCCCUUAUUCCCUAUCUUUUUUGUGCUUAAUUUAUUAAAAUAGUUACUGUAUAAUUUAUUUUCAUAAACUAUUAAAAUGUACUAAAUGGUUAAAAAUAAACUUGCAGGCCAAUCUUUAAGUGGGGAAGAG